CACACCAUCCAUGCGGAUCAUGUG
rnacentral:siRNA from 1 species